ensembl:miRNA mir-262 ncRNA
GUGCAAAAUUGUAUUAAAAUAAACUUUAUUGGAUUACAAAAAAAAUGUAUCAAUUUUUCUUUUUCAUUUUUACGUUUCUCGAUGUUUUCUGAUACUGUUGCUAGCAGU